rnacentral:rRNA from 1 species
UGUAAGAACUAGUGGAGGACUGAACCCAUAGGCGUUGAAAAGCCCCGGGAUGACUUGUGGAUAGGGGUGAAAGGCCAAUCAAACUUCGUGAUAGCUGGUUCUCUCCGAAAUAUAUUUAGGUAUAGCGUUGUGUCGUAAUAUAAGGGGGUAAAGCACUGAAUGGGCUAGGGCAUACACCAAUGUACCAAACCCUAUCAAACUCCGAAUACCUUAUAUGUAAUCACAGCAGUCAGGCGGCGAGUGAUAAAAUCCGUCGUCAAGAGGGAAACAACCCAGACUACCAGCUAAGGUCCCUAAAUCUUACUUAAGUGGAAAACGAUGUGAAGUUACUUAAACAACCA